AUUGUAUUUCAUCUUACAUUAGUCUAUCUAGAUAUGCAUUACGGGCAACUGUUUUGUAUAAAGCUCUAGAGAAAAGUAUUAUAUAU
rfam:Erysiphe necator strain c c-strain-scaffold_14, whole genome shotgun sequence.